rnacentral:lncRNA from 1 species
AUGCCCGUGACACCUGCCCGCGAGCAGCCGCCCCGUCACACCUCCCCAGCUCGGCGGAGCAGCGCGGCGCGGUCUGGGGGCUGCAGCUGGGGUGAUUCCCCGGGCAGGCCAGAGCUCUCUGCAGUCAGGCACUGUGCUCAUGAGGCCGCAGCGCUGUUUCCACCCCAAACUGUCAGAGACGGAGCCCUGAUGCAGCUCGGCCUGCCCCAGAGCACCCAGUGGAUCAUUCCCUUUGACGCGGCCGGCUCGCCCACGGCAGGCAGCGCUGCCUCCCGGCUGUGCCCGGCCACGGGGUCACGUUCUCCCGGCAGCGUGCACUCACCUCCCUGCGCCCCACGCAGCUGCUCCUGUGGUUUCCCCGCAGCAGGCGGCUGGUGCUCGGGGGGAGGCAGCUCUGCUCUCCUGCGCCGUGCAAAAUGUCCUCUGCCUGCAGGGCACGGCAGGCGCGCAACCAAGCCUCUGUCCGCCGCCGCUGCUGCGCCCGCCGCCCUCGUGCCCCAUCGGCACAGGGCACCGGUGCCCACCCCACCACCCGCAGCCCCCCGCAGCCCACCUGGGCCCUCCCCGCAGCCAGAGGCAGGGCUGCCAUUUCCAGGCUCGCCCCUCCCAGGCUGCUGUGUUUUCAUUCAGAGCCCUGAGAGCCGGCAGAGAAAUAAGCUGAGGUCAGAGCAAAGGCCUGGGCUCAUGGAGACGGCUCAGCUGUGGCUGCUGAAAGAGCAGCUCGCUUCUAAGAGGCGCCUGUCCCCAGUGAAAGACAUACACCUCAGCUUUGUUUGCCGUCUAAAAAUAAUGUGCCUGGCUCCCCCUCACAAGGAAGUAUUUACCUUGGAAAAAAAGUAUUGUGUACCGUGCUGGCUAGAGAAACAAUGCGAAUGCACCGAGCGCGAGGCUGGCAGUCAGGGACUCGGGUAUGCUGCUCCACCAGCCCCCGGCCAGAGUCAGCGGGUAGCCUUGGGGAAAUUACUUCUUCUGCCUGCCUUGGUUCCCUCUGGAGAAAUUACCUCUCCUGGGCCGUGGUGA